AAACUUUUGUUUCCCUUUUAAUUGCAUAAAUCUUUUGCCUUUUACUAAAGAUUUCCUUAGGGGGGAACAGCAAGAGUCUAUCUCAAAUUUUUUUAUGCUUUGCGUAUGCGGAGCC